AUAUUGCACUGUGCAUCGAUUUGGUGAGUGCCAGACCUUAACUGUGUUUUUGCAAACAUUGAACUAAGCAGAUCUGCCCUCUGGAAGUAUGUCCUUGGGUUCACACCAUCUGUAGUUAUGGAUUUCACCAGCUGCAGGAGAGGGUUGUCACUGUUAUUCAUGACAACAUUUUGCAAUGCAGAGCUGUCACAGAAAGUACAGCAUAAGCACUGACAAAAGGCAUCAAAGGAGCAGGUGUUUAACACAGAGAUUGACAGUUUACCAACUUUAACAGGCUGAUGCAUGUUUCCAUUUUUUAAUAGUCCCACUUUCACUCUUUUGGUCCCAGAUGAUGAAUCUGCAUGGAGCCAUUCAGUGCAGGAACUCAAGUAUGAAGUCCUCUUCCUCUUUUUGGGUGGAAGAAUUUGUCCUCUCCAGUUUUCAACCACGUUUUCAUCUGCUGUGGAAAGGUUUUUGGCGGGAUCAGAUUCCAUUAAAUCGCUAGAAUCCAUUUUUGUUUUUUCUUCAGCAUUGUGUAUAAUUACUGACGCAGGAUUAGCUUCUGCAACGUCUGCUGAUGUAACUUGUUCCUCCUCUCUUUUUGCUUUGGCAGAGCAAAUCCGCAUAUUUCCUUCGAUGAAGGAAAGGUGCCGAGAAAUGAAGCGAUCCACUCGAAUGGGCAAGUUCUCAUGUUUGAACAGGCCAUGUUUUAUAUUUUUGAAUUCGGCUUCAACAUUGGCUGAGCUUGCUGUGAGACUGGUGCUUUUGAAGAGGGGAACCAUUAUUCCUGUCCACAGUGGUAAGUAACUUGCAAGUCUUAUAAUGUGUGGCACAAUCUCAGGGAGGAAAUGAAUGUUAUCCCUAUCCCCAUUGGCUGCAGCAUGUGUCCUGCUCUCCUCACAAAUGUUUGACACCCAGUCUCGUAGGUCAGUCUGAUAAAAUCCUCUAAAUACAAUCUCUGACUUGGACUAGUCAUUAUGUGACUAAAUCAUAAGAGAACCCCGUCACAGGGACUAAAUACACAAGGGAGAAAUCAAGGGGAAACCAGAGACGGCUGGAGACAAUCAAGGGGUCGGUGGGACGACACGGAGACUCAACUGAACACAGAAACCUAAAUUAACACCAAGAAAAACCAAAUCCUCACAGCUGGUGUCACACUUGGUGACUGUCUGAUGUUUUUCUGAUGUAAAGCACUUUGAACCGCCGUGUUGCUGAAAUGUUCCACACUAAGAAGCUUGACUCGACCACGGAGUUGUUCCAGACGUCUUGGAUUCUUCCCCAGAUUUGUGCUAUGACUCCAUCUGCUCUCAGAGGUCAGAGGUCAUCUGAUGGUUUCUAAUCUGACUUUCUUCAUCAGCUGAGAUACUUUCUGUAGACACCAGGGUUUCUCCACAUCCUGUUCAGUCUGCUGAUCGUUUCCAUAGCAACGAUCAGAAGCAAGAUGGAUAAAAAGCCUGAUCUACGUAAGACAGCAGCUUCAUCUGGAAUAACCAAACCUGCACAAACCCAGGCGGACAUGAAGAUAAAACCUCAGUUGGUCCCAGCGAUGGACAGCAGGUUCAGCCCAACCAGAGGCUGCAGAAAAAACACCGUUGUGACAAGUGUCUGAAACAUUUCAGAUUGAAGACUUAUCUCAAAAUUCAUCAACGCAUUCACACUGGAGAGAAGCGCUAUCUCUGUGACCAGUGUGGAAAAACUUUCAUUCACAAGAGUAAUUUUAACAUUCAUCUGCGAAUCCACACUGGUGAAAAGCCUUAUAGCUGCAGUCAGUGUGAGAAGAGAUUCAGACAACGGUCAACGCUGCAGAGUCAUCAGCGAAUCCACACUGGUGAAAAACCUUAUAGCUGCAGUCAGUGUGAGAAGAGAUUCAGACAACGGUCAACGCUGAAGAGUCAUCAGCGAAUCCACACUGGUGAAAAACCUUAUAGCUGCAGUCAGUGUGAGAAGAGAUUCAUACGAUCCUCACAACUGAAGAGUCAUCAGCGAAUCCACACUGGAUAAAAAGCCUGAUCUACGUAAGACAGCAGCUUCAUCUGGAAUGUGAGGGAACUUCUUUCUCUCCGCUUGUUUUUUAUCACUAUGGCGCCAACAGUUGGUGCUUUCAGUGACAUUUAUAUCAAUAAUAAUAACAAGCAUGCAAAUAAA